rnacentral:rRNA from 1 species
UACGGAGGGUGCAAGCGUUGUCCGGAUUUAUUGGGUUUAAAGGGUGCGUAGGCGGCCCUGUAAGUCAGUGGUGAAAUACUGCAGCUUAACUGUAGCAUUGCCAUUGAUACUGUGGGGCUUGAGUACAGAUGAGGUAGGCGGAAUUGAUGGUGUAGCGGUGAAAUGCAUAGAUACCAUCAAGAACACCGAUUGCGAAGGCAGCUUACUAAGCUGUAACUGACGCUGAGGCACGAAAGUGUGGGGAUCGAACAGGAUUAGAAACCCAGUAGUCC